rnacentral:rRNA from 1 species
UACGUAGGGGGGCAAGCGUUGUCCGGAUUUAUUGGGCGUAAAGAGCUCGUAGGUGGUUCGGUAAGUCGGAUGUGAAAUCUCCAGGCUCAACCUGGAGGGGUCAUUCGAUACUGCCGUGACUAGAGUUCGGUAGGGGAGUGUGGAAUUCCUGGUGGAGCGGUGAAAUGCGCAGAUAUCAGGAGGAACACCCGUAGCGAAGGCGGCACUCUGGGCCAUACUGACACUGAGGAGCGAAAAGCGUGGGGAGCGAACAGG